GUGCUUUACACAUGCAAGCUCGAACGGUGAAGCAGAAGCUUGCUCUGUGGAUCAGUGGCGAACGGGUGAGUAACACGUGAGCAAUCUGCCCCUGACUCUGGGAUAAGCGCUGGAAACGGCGUCUAAUACCGGAUACGAGCUGCGAAGGCAUCUUCAGCAGCUGGAAAGAAUUUCGGUCAGGGAUGAGCUCGCGGCCUAUCAGCUUGUUGGUGAGGUAACGGCUCACCAAGGCGUCGACGGGUAGCCGGCCUGAGAGGGUGACCGGCCACACUGGGACUGAGACACGGCCCAGACUCCUACGGGAGGCAGCAGUGGGGAAUAUUGCACAAUGGGGCGAAAGCCUGAUGCAGCAACCCCGCGUGAGGGACGACGGCCUUCGGGUUGUAAACCUCUUUUAGCAGGAAAGAAGCGAAAGUGACGGUACCUGCAGAAAAAGCGCCGGCUAAACUACGUGCCAGCAGCCGCGGUAAUACGUAGGGCGCAAGCGUUAUCCGGAAUUAUUGGGCGUAAAGAGCUCGUAGGCGGUCUGUCGCGUCUGCUGUGAAAACCCGAGGCUCAACCUCGGGCCUGCAGUGGGUACGGGCAGACUAGAGUGCGGUAGGGGAGAUUGGAAUUCCUGGGUGUAGCGGUGGAAUGCGCAAAUAUCAGGAGGAACACCGAUGGCGAAGGCAGAUCUCUGGGCCGUAACUGACGCUGAGGAGCGAAAGGGUGGGGAGCAAACAGGCUUAGAUACCCUGGUAGUCCACCCCGUAAACGUUGAGAACUAGUUGUGGGGUCCAUUCCACGGAUUCCGUGACGCAGCUAACGCAUUAAGUUCCCCGCCUGGGGAGUACGGCCGCAAGGCUAAAACUCAAAGGAAUUGACGGGGACCCGCACAAGCGGCGGAGCAUGCGGAUUAAUUCGAUGCAACGCGAAGAACCUUACCAAGGCUUGACAUAUACGAGAACGGGCCAGAAAUGGUCAACUCUUUGGACACUCGUAAACAGGUGGUGCAUGGUUGUCGUCAGCUCGUGUCGUGAGAUGUUGGGUUAAGUCCCGCAACGAGCGCAACCCUCGUUCUAUGUUGCCAGCACGUAAUGGUGGGAACUCAUGGGAUACUGCCGGGGUCAACUCGGAGGAAGGUGGGGAUGACGUCAAAUCAUCAUGCCCCUUAUGUCUUGGGCUUCACGCAUGCUACAAUGGCCGGUACAAAGGGCUGCAAUACCGCGAGGUGGAGCGAAUCCCAAAAAGCCGGUCCCAGUUCGGAUUGAGGUCUGCAACUCGACCUCAUGAAGUCGGAGUCGCUAGUAAUCGCAGAUCAGCAACGCUGCGGUGAAUACGUUCCCGGGUCUUGUACACACCGCCCGUCAAGUCAUGAAAGUCGGUAACACCUGAAGCCGGUGGCCCAACCCUUGUGGAGGGAGCCGUCGAAGGUGGGAUCGGUAAUUAGGACUAAGUCGUAACAAGGUAGCCGUACCGGAAGGUGCGGCUGGAUCAYAUCCUUUCU
rnacentral:rRNA from 1 species